rnacentral:rRNA from 1 species
UACGUAGGGUGCAAGCGUUAAUCGGAAUUACUGGGCGUAAAGCGUGCGCAGGCGGCUUUGCAAGACAGAUGUGAAAUCCCCGAGCUUAACCUGGGAACUGCAUUUGUGACUGCAUGGCUGGAGUGCGGCAGAGGGGGAUGGAAUUCCGCGUGUAGCAGUGAAAUGCGUAGAUAUGCGGAGGAACACCGGUGGCGAAGGCGGCUUCCUGGACCGACACUGACGCUGAGGCGCGAAAGCUAGGGGAGCAAACGGG